UACGUAGGGGGCAAGCGUUGUCCGGAUUUAUUGGGCGUAAAGAGCGUGUAGGCGGUUUGGUAGGUCCGCUGUGAAAACUCGAGGCUCAACUUCGAGACGCCGGUGGAAACCAUCAGACUAGAGUCCGGAAGAGGAGAGUGGAAUUCCUGGUGUAGCGGUGAAAUGCGUAGAUAUCAGGAGGAACACCUGCGGUGUAGACGGCUUUCUGGACCAUUGCUGACGCUGAGACACGAAAGCGUGGGUAGCAAACAGG
rnacentral:rRNA from 1 species